rnacentral:rRNA from 1 species
AUUGAACGCUGGCGGCAGGCCUAACACAUGCAAGUCGAGCGAGCGGCGGACGGGUGAGUAAUGUAUGGGGACUGCCCGAUAGCGGGGGAUAACUACUGGAAACGGUGGCUAAUACCGCAUACUAUCGGAUCACCACAAUGGGAUUGGCUAGUAGGUGGGGUAAAGGCUCACCUAGGCGACGAUCUCUAGCUGGUCGUAGAGGAUGAGCAGCCAAACUGGGACUGAGACACGGCCCAGACUCCUACGGAGGCAUCAGUGGGGAAUAUUGCAGAAUGGGCGCAAGCCUGAUGCAGCCAUGCCGCGUGUAUGAAGAAGGCCUUAGGGUUGUAAAGUACUUUCAGUCGGGAGGCGUUACCGACAGAGGAAGCACCGGCUAACUCCGUGCCAGCAGCCGCGGUAAUUC